UAGGGAAUCUUCCGCAAUGGACGCAAGUCUGACGGAGCAACGCCGCGUGAGUGAUGAAUGUCUUCGGAUUGUAAAACUCUGUUGUUAGGGAAGAACAAGUACCGUUCGAAUAGGUCGGUACCUUGACGGUACCUAACCAGAAAGCCCCGGCUAACUACGUGCCAGCAGCCGCGGUAAUACGUAGGGGGCAAGCGUUGUCCGGAAUUAUUGGGCGUAAAGGGCGCGCAGGCGGUCUUCUAAGUCUGAUGUGAAAGCCCACGGCUUAACCGUGGAAGGUCAUUGGAAACUGGGGGACUUGAGUGCAGAAGAGGAGAGUGGAAUUCCAUGUGUAGCGGUGAAAUGCGUAGAGAUAUGGAGGAACACCAGUGGCGAAGGCGACUCUCUGGUCUGCAACUGACGCUGAGGCGCGAAAGCGUGGGUAGCGAACAGGAUUAGAUACCCUGGUAGUCCACGCCGUAAACGAUGAGUGCUAGGUGUCAGGGGGUUUCCGCCCCUUGGUGCUGGAGUUAACGCAUUAAGCACUCCGCCUGGGGAGUACGGCCGCAAGGCUG
rnacentral:rRNA from 1 species